AGGCUCUCCAAUGAGGAAGCGGAGGGACGGGUGAGUGGGUGGGCCUGGGCCUCGCGCCGCUGCAGCCGACAUUUUGUGUGCUUCGCGGGGAGAGGAGGUGCGGUCCCUGGCGAGGCUCUGCCAAGAUGGUGAAACUCUUCAUUGGGAAUCUGCCCCGGGAGGCAACGGAGCAAGAGAUCCGGUCGCUCUUUGAGCAGUAUGGGAAGGUGCUGGAAUGUGACAUCAUCAAAAACUAUGGCUUUGUGCACAUCGAAGACAAGACAGCGGCUGAAGAUGCCAUCCGUAAUCUGCAUCACCACAAGCUGCAUGGUGUCUGCAUCAACGUGGAAGCCAGCAAGAACAAGAGCAAGGCAUCCACCAAGCUGCAUGUGGGCAACAUCAGCACUACCUGCACGAACCUGGAGCUGCGGGCCAAGUUUGAAGAGUAUGGCCCGGUAAUCGAGUGCGACAUAGUGAAGGACUAUGCCUUUGUGCACAUGGAGCGGGCUGAGGAUGCGGUGGAGGCCAUCAGGGGCCUAGACAACACAGAGUUCCAAGGUGAAACAUGAACCAGGGAAAGUGCAGCCUUCGCUAGGACUAGGUAGCGCCAGGUUCUGUCCAGAAGAUCAGGUCAGGUGGAAAUCUGUUGGUCAUGGGGUCAUAAUUGUGCUGAAUGAAUAAUGGCGUUCAGACUGAUCAUGUUGUCUGGAUGAGUUUUUCAGUGUAGAUGAACACAAGAAGUGCAGAGUUCUUGGGGAGGUGUUUAGGAAUUGGAUAAACCAUAGUUUUUGUUCAAGUUAGAAAAGUGCUUUCAUUGGAUUUGAGAAAUACUUUCAGUUAAGUACAUGUCUAGCUAAUGAACUAGGUAAUUCAGUGCUGCUCCUCUGGAGAACUGUUUGUCAUACAUUUAAUAGUCCUGUGGCUGCAACUAUGGUUGGAAAAAGUGUUACAGGAGAUUGAAGGGUAUUGACAUAGCUGUGGGGAGACCAGGACUGGAAUAGCAGGGUGCACUGUGGGUCAUGAUUGAGUUUCAUGGGCAGAACUGUGUGUUUGCAGAAGCCCAGGACUUGAAUAGCAGGGUUGAGAUUGUGGGGCAUGACAGAAAUGUGGAGGAAGCUUGCAUAAGACCAGACAUUUCGGUCCCUCAUCUUUAGGAGUAUUUAAAGCUUUGUGCAGUUUUUAAAAGGUGUUAAACAAGAGAUCCAAAACACGUUAAAGGUGACCUGCAAGGAGGGGUGGGGUGGAAAUGGGCUUGUCUGCUUUUUUUAUGAUACAUAAAGUUGGUCUGAACAGAUUUAUUAAAUUAAAACUCUGCUUGUUUUUUUCUACAUCAGAAAUUUGGGUUUUGUUUAUGGUGUGAGUCCAGUUCUCUAAUCAUGAGACAGAGAUGACCUCACAAAAGUGAAGAGUGAAAGCUGAGGUAUCAAGAGGAGAAGGGAUUUUUAGUUAGACAAUAACUUUCUUUCCCUGUGUUAACUCCUAAUGAACUCUGGUUACCAAUCAACCUUUUGAAUAAGGAAGCCUUUAUUAAUUUCUCCUUUAAAUUGUUAGAGCUUUGAGAUCUCCCAGUAGUCCUGCAAAACCAAAGAAGAUCAGAUCCUUGCAUUCCUGAUCUUUCUAAGGUUAAGACCAGUGUUAGACAUUAGACUGGUCCACAAAAAACUGUCUUUUUUUUUUUUUUAAACCACCAAUUUAUUAGAACGGGAACAAACAAGCAUAAGAUGUUAUGGCCUCCAAUAGGUUUAGCUUUAGACAGUUAGCCUAAUUACAAAAAUACAAGUUACUUAACUGAGUUACUUUAACUCAGAAGAAUGUGAAAAAGCGUGAAAUGAAGAUUACUCCUGGGGGGAUUCUGCGUGACUGGGACCCCCCAGAAAAUGGGCCCCCCAUCCCCGAAUUCCUGUGCUUCCCUGCAAACAGGGAAGCAAAAGGGGGAGGGGGGGGCACGACCAGGGGUGCAGUUUUUUGCGGGGGAUUGCUCCCCUUGAAACAGAGGUGAGGCAUGGGGUGACACAUAGGGUUACAAGCCAGUGAGCUUUCCCCUCCUCCCCAUUUCUGCAAGCACAGAGUUACCCAGCUGAAUGAGGCUGUCUCCCGACUCUGCCGCUGAACACCACCUCCUGGGUCCUAGUGCCAGUCCUGCUCUGCUUCUGUGUGCUAGGAGCCUUCCUGUUUUCUGUGCAACAAAUUCCCUCAGGAGUAGAAGGUCUAAAAAAUGAAAGAAUGGACCAUAAUGGAAUCAGAAUGGCAAUCUUGCUGGAGUAUUUGACUGAAUAGAGGAUCAACUGACAUUAUUUGACCAGUCAGUUGACUGACUUACCAAGCCUAGUUAAAACCUCCCUGGCUGCCUUAAGCAUUUAAAAGAGGCUGAAAAAGAACCAGCUGAAUUUUUAAAAUGUCAUUUGUCUGGUAUCUUGAAGAUUGUACCUUCAAACUUAGCUUGAGACAAAUUGACUUAAUCAACUAAAAAGUGGGAGUUCAAGGUAGAGGAUGAAUUGAUAUUGACAUGUUCUGUUGGAACUCUGAGCUGCGGAGCAUGGGAAUUGCCAAAGUGGAUCAGAGAUGUGGUCUUUCUGGUCCGGUAUUCUGUCUCUGACAGCAGCCAAUACCAACUGCUUCAGCGUAAGGUUCAGGGGACCCUGUAAUAGCAUUGAUGGGAUAACUAGACCCCAGCAGAGGUUAGCUCUUGCCCUGAAGCAGGAGAAUUUAAAUCUCUUCCAAAACUUACAUCUGUUUAUAUUACUUACUAUUCUUGUUCUGGCUAUCCUUAUCCAUGUAAAUGGUCAAUACUCUUUGAAUCCAGCUUAGUUUUUGAUCUUGGUGAUACCUUGAGGCAGUGAGUUCCACGUGUGAAUUGUGCUCAGUGUGGAAAUAGUGUUUCUCUUUACCUGUUUUAAUGUUGCUCCUAUCAGUGUUGUGGAAUAUCCCCAUGUUUUUGUAUGAUGAAAGGGUAAAUAGUAGCGCGUCUCUAAGAUAAACAGCCCCAUUCAUUUAAUCUCUUCAUAUGAGAGUUUUUUCAGACUCAUAAUUCUCAUCACCUGUCUUUUGCCCUCAUCUGUUUCUGAUACAUACUUUACGGAGCUGGGGCAACCAAAAUAGAACACAGUACUCUAGGUGGAGAUGUCCCAAUGAUUUAUAGAAAGGUAUUAUAUCUUCAGGAUUCUCCAUCCCAUCCCUUAUGUACCUUGGAACUUUGCUACUGCACAUUGCACAGAGGUUUCCAUUGACCUGCCCAGAGUGAUGCCCAGACCUCUUACAGAGUUGAUCCCGAUAAUUUAGGAAUUCAGUAGGCGUUCAGAUUAAUGCACAUAGCAGGGAAUACUUUCCAUUUAUCAACAUUGAGCAGUGGCAACAAAGCAGACAUGCAGUUUUUGUUGUUUCCAAUGUUUUGGUUGCACAAGCUGUCUUCUGCUCUAGCAGUACAAAAGGCAUCUGUUAGUGCAAUGUGGAAAGCAAGUUGAUUUGCAGACUGUAGUGUUACACCUGUGCACAGAUCUUUGGGUCCUACAAUGGAUAAGCCCUAUCUAGUCUUGGGAGUUAGGCUGUGAAGCUCUACCUCAGAGAGGGCAGCUAAGGGUCGUGUCUGGUAUCACCAUUGAAAGUGAUGCUGCAUCUCUCAACACCUCAUCCCAAAAGUUAACCUGGUAGGGGUUUGUAGAAAUAAUCUCUAGUAAAAAAAACAGCUGCUCUUCUGUUUAGAACAGAAUAUUUGUCUUCUCUUAGAAGCAGCAGCUAGGUGUAUCUUUAGGCAACUCUGUAAAAGAAAGGGUGUGUGCCUGGAGGCCUGACUGUCUUGGGUCUAAAACGCAGCAUUGCAUACACCCAUAUGGCCUACACAGAAAUUAAUCGGAUCUUAGGGAGUUAGCCAUUUGAAGCUUGUGGCAGUGCUGAUAUUCAUGCAUGAGAGCUUGUUUCAUGUUUCUACUAAUAAACUUCCCUGCACUGUAUGUAGGCUAAAACAUUUGAUUUCCAUUUUCUAGUGACAAGCAGAAAUAGAACUCUCUCACUGAUGAUAUUCAACAAAGGGUGUUGAGAGAGAGAGAGAGAGAGAGGCAGAUUGAUACUAGGGUAUUUUGCACCUUGCCACUAAUUCUUCUGUCCCAGGCUCAGUGACCAAAAGCUGUUAACACCCCAAGCUAGGCCUGGCAGAAUAUUAUUUUUAUUUUUAUAAAAUGUUGGUGGAUAAUAUUAUUUUUAAACAUUUUUUUUAGAUUUUUGUUGAUUUAAAUGUUCACAGUUGUGUGAAAUUAGGGGAGGGAGGGUCAGACAAUAGUUAUUUAAUGACAGUAGACACUGAGAUUCAAAACAUUAAAGAUUUGUAACAGUUAAAACACAAAUUGUCAACGUCACAUAUCAAAUUAUACAAAGUAAAUAUCCUUCAAUCAAACUCUUUAAGUUCUCAAGCAGCAUUUUUCUUAUGUUGCCUAUCUGUAAAUUUUAAUUAUCGAUGGAAAUAUUUUUUCCACUGGUUAGUGUAUGUACAGUAGGUGUUCUCAAACUGGGGGUUGGGACCCCUCACGGAGUCACAAGGUUAUUACAUGGGGGGGCGUGAGCUCCCAGCCUCCACCCCAAACCCUGCUUUGCCUCCAGCAUUUAUAAUGGUGUUAUAAAUUAAAAAAACACUUUUUUAUAUAUUUAAGGGGGCUUGCUAUGUGAAAGGGGUGACCAGUACAAAAGUUUGAGGACCACUGGUGUACAGUGAAAUAGAUGUUUUCUGAUUAAAAAUCAAAUUCUUCCAAACAUACUCAUUGCACUUCCAUAAUUCCCAUGAAAUAAGCUGGUGGGUCCCAGCCCAGUUCCUGUUGAACAAGUGUGCACCUCUCAUAAACACUGCAUUCAGGUGCUUUAUUGAAAAGUCCAAAGACUGAACUGGUCAUAGAGAAUGAACCCGCUUCUCUUCAAAGUGGCCUUCCAGGUCAGGAUUGAGACAUGUUGGCUGGGUGAGGGUGCUGGCACAUUGUGUGGGCACUGGUAGUGCCAGACCUGUUUUAUAGAUAAGUGACUUCAGUUUUCAGAGUUGCCAAUAUCGUAUACUACACCAUAGUGUGUGUGGGAAAUCUAGAAUAUAUAAAAGAUGAAGUUACUUGUGGUUUUUUCUGAGAGCAACUUUAUUACUUCUGAAAACACAAGCACCACUAGGGGUAACAUUUUCAAAAAUGCCCAAGUCACUUAACCUCUUAAGACCUAUUUUCAAAAGUGACAUGGGUAGCUUGCUAUAGUCAAGUAUCGUAUAAAUAGUUUUCCAGCCCUGGGCCUACAGCACUUUCCUACCUGUUUAGUAUCAGUCUCAAACUCUUGAAGCACAGUAGAGGGCGAAUGCCAUGGUGUCCUUCUCUGUCAGGUAAGUCCCAUAGUGGUAAGUUGCUUUGCUACCAAAAAUAGUGGCUAUAUCUCUGUAAUUUAAGGUAAGUCAAGUUGGCAAGAGGUCACCCAUCAACUUGUGCAGUUAAACUGGGACUGUUUUAUGGACUUUCUGGCUAAAGGAUUACUGGAUUCUCUUGUGAUUUAUGUUCUGUAACAUCUAAAUGAAAUGGUGUCUUGAUGUAGAAUAUAAUCUGGGCUCUGACUCUCUGAAUGCUGCUGAGGGCCGGAUCCUAUGUCAGAGAUAGACGUCGCAUGUUAUGGUUACAAUGCUUUUUUCUCUUCCAGCUUUAUGUGCAGAAGCUCCUCCAGUGUCACCCGGUUGGAGGGAUCUUCUCACCUCUGCUUUUGCACAUUGCAAAGCACAAGAAUGGUGAUCAAUAAAUAGCUUUAAUUCACUGAAA